rnacentral:rRNA from 1 species
GACGAACGCUGGCGGCGUGCUUAACACAUGCAAGUCGAACGGAAAGGCCCUGCUUUUGUGGGGUGCUCGAGUGGCGAACGGGUGAGUAACACGUGAGUAACCUGCCCUUGACUUUGGGAUAACUUCAGGAAACUGGGGCUAAUACCGGAUAGGAGCUCCUGCUGCAUGGUGGGGGUUGGAAAGUUUCGGCGGUUGGGGAUGGACUCGCGGCUUAUCAGCUUGUUGGUGGGGUAGUGGCUUACCAAGGGUUUGACGGGUAGCCGGCCUGAGAGGGUGACCGGCCACAUUGGGACUGAGGUACGGCCCAGACGCCUACGGGAGGCAGCAGUGGGGAAUAUUGCACAAUGGGCGGAAGCCUGAUGUAGCAACGCCGCGUGCGGGAUGACGGCCUUCGGGUUGUAAACCGCUUUCGCCUGUGACGAAGCGUGAGUGACGGUAAUGGGUAAAGAAGCACCGGCUAACUACGUG